ensembl:snRNA U2 U2 spliceosomal RNA
UGUUCUAGCCUGCCUGAUAUGUCCUCCAUAGGAGGUCUAUAUUGAGCAUAUUCUUUUUGGUAUUGGGUGGUGGAACUGGAGCGUGCUCCAUCCACUCCAUGCAUUGACCUGGUAUUGCAGUACUUCCAGGACCAGUGC